GGUAUCAUGCACUGAAUUCAUAGGUGUAUGAAGCGAACCCGGAGAACUGAAACAUCUAAGUAACCGGAGGAAAAGAAAUCAACCGAGAUUCCCUUAGUAGCGGCGAGCGAAAGGGGAUUAGCCUGCAAGUGAUAGCAUUAGUGUUAGUGGAACAGUCUGGAAAGUCUGGCAAUAGAGGGUGAUAGCCCCGUACACGAAAACACUUUUGUGGUACUAAGCUUGCGACAAGUAGGUCGGGACACGUGUUAUCUUGACUGAAUAUGGGGGGACCAUCCUCCAAGGCUAAAUACUACCAACUGACCGAUAGUGAACUAGUACCGUGAGGGAAAGGCGAAAAGAACCCCGGAGAGGGGAGUGAAAUAGAUCCUGAAACCGUAUGCGUACAAGCAGUAGGAGCAGACUUGUUCUGUGACUGCGUACCUUUUGUAUAAUGGGUCAGCGACUUAUUUUCAGUGGCAAGGUUAACCGUUUAGGGGAGCCGUAGGGAAACCGAGUCUUAAUAGGGCGUCUUAGUCGCUGGGAAUAGACCCGAAACCGGGCGAUCUAUCCAUGGCCAGGUUGAAGGUUGAGUAACAUCAACUGGAGGACCGAACCCACUAAUGUUGAAAAAUUAGGGGAUGAGCUGUGGAUCGGAGUGAAAGGCUAAUCAAGCCCGGAGAUAGCUGGUUCUCCUCGAAAGCUAUUUAGGUAGCGCCUCAUGUCUCACCACUGGGGGUAGAGCACUGUUUCGGCUAGGGGGUCAUACCGACUUACCAACCCGAUGCAAACUCCGAAUACCAGUGAGUGCAAUCAUGGGAGACACACGGCGGGUGCUAACGUUCGUCGUGGAGAGGGAAACAACCCAGACCGCCAGCUAAGGUCCCAAAUAUCAGUUAAGUGGGAAACGAUGUGGGAAGGCUCAGACAGCUAGGAAGUUGGCUUAGAAGCAGCCAUCUUUUAAAGAAAGCGUAAUAGCUCACUAGUCGAGUCGGCCUGCGCGGAAGAUUUAACGGGGCUAAACUGAUAACCGAAGCUGCGGACGCAUACUUGUAUGCGUGGUAGAGGAGCGUUCUGUAAGCCGUUGAAGGUGCAUUGUAAAGUGUGCUGGAGGUAUCAGAAGUGCGAAUGCUGACGUGAGUAACGAUAAAGCGGGUGAAAAACCCGCUCGCCGGAAGAUCAAGGUUUCCUGUCCAACGCUAAUCGGGACAGGGUUAGUCGGUACCUAAGGCGAGGCCGAAAGGCGUAGUCGAUGGAAAACAGGUUAAUAUUCCUGUACCGCUAUAUACUGCGAUGGGGGGACGGAGAAGGCUAGGUGAUCAGGGCGUUGGUUGUCCCUGUAUAAGCUCGUAGGGAGAUUCCUUAGGUAAAUCCGGGGAAUCACUAUCCUGAGAAGCGAUAUCGAGCUCAAUUGCGAGCGAAGUCAUUGAUGCCAUGCUUCCAAGAAAAGCCUCUAAGCUUCAGGUAUAUAGAGACCGUACUCUAAACCGACACAGGUGAUCAGGUAGAGAAUACCCAGGCGCUUGAGAGAACUAUGGUGAAGGAACUAGGCAAAAUGGUGCCGUAACUUCGGGAGAAGGCACGCCGAUUUUGGUGAUGGGAUUUACUCCCUAAGCUGAGGUUGGCCGCAGAGACCAGGCCCCUGCGACUGUUUAUCUAAAACACAGCACUCUGCAAACUCGUAAGAGGAAGUAUAGGGUGUGACGCCUGCCCGGUGCCGGAAGGUUAAUUGAUGGGGUUAGCUUCGGCGAAGCUCUUGAUCGAAGCCCCGGUAAACGGCGGCCGUAACUAUAACGGUCCUAAGGUAGCGAAAUUCCUUGUCGGGUAAGUUCCGACCUGCACGAAUGGCGUAACGACGGGGGCGCUGUCUCCACCAUAGACUCAGUGAAAUCGAAAUCGCGGUGAAGAUGCCGUGUUCCCGCGGCUAGACGGAAAGACCCCGUGAACCUUUACUAUAGCUUGGCACUGAACUUUGAACCUAUCUGUGUAGGAUAGGUGGGAGGCUUUGAAGCGUGAUCGCUAGAUUGCGUGGAGCCAUCCUUGAAAUACCACCCUGGUAUGUUUGAGGUUCUAACUCUGACCCAUUAUCUGGGUUGAGGACAGUGUCUGGUGGGUAGUUUGACUGGGGCGGUCUCCUCCCAAAGAGUAACGGAGGAGCGCGAAGGUACACUCAGCAUGGUCGGAAAUCAUGCUAUGAGCGCAAAGGUAAAAGUGU
rnacentral:rRNA from 1 species